rnacentral:rRNA from 1 species
UACAUGGGGUGCAAACGUUGCUCGGAAUUAUUGGGCGUAAAGAGCGUGUAGGCGGCCAGACAGGUCCGUUGUGAAAACUAGAGGCUUAACCUCUAGACGUCGAUGGAAACCGUCUGGCUAGAGUCCGGAAGAGGAGAAUGGAAUUCCUGGUGUAGCGGUGAAAUGCGCAGAUAUCAGGAAGAACACCCGUGGCUAAGGCGGUUCUCUAGUACGGUACUGACGCUGAGACGCGAAAGCGUGGGGAGCGAACAGG